rnacentral:rRNA from 1 species
GAUGAACGCUGGCGGCGUGCCUAAUACAUGCAAGUCGAGCGAACGGACGAGAAGCUUGCUUCUCUGAUGUUAGCGGCGGACGGGUGAGUAACACGUGGAUAACCUACCUAUAAGACUGGGAUAACUUCGGGAAACCGGAGCUAAUACCGGAUGAUAUUUUGAACCGCAUGGUUCAAGAGUGAAAGACGGUCUUGCUGUCACUUAUAGAUGGAUCCGCGCUGCAUUAGCUAGUUGGUAAGGUAACGGCUUACCAAGGCAACGAUGCAUAGCCGACCUGAGAGGGUGAUCGGCCACACUGGAACUGAGACACGGUCCAGACUCCUACGGGAGGCAGCAGUAGGGAAUCUUCCGCAAUGGGCGAAAGCCUGACGGAGCAACGCCGCGUGAGUGAUGAAGGUCUUCGGAUCGUAAAACUCUGUUAUUAGGGAAGAACAUAUGUGCAAGUAACUGUGCACAUCUUGACGGUACCUAAUCAGAAAGCCACGGCUAACUACGUG